CUUAACAUGCCUCCUUCGUCUACUAAUCUGCUCUGCCUUCACCGCCGCUUGUCUUCCUCCCCACCGCUGCUUGAUCUCUUCCCCACUACUAACAACAUGCGGUAGAAAUGGUUUGUUAAGGACUCAAUGCCACCACAUUUCUUCGUUAAAUACAACAACAGGGGCCAAACCCCGAAGGAUAUAUUUACAGAUACACACAAAGACCUUGUCAAAGAUGGCAGUGAAUGGCUGAGCAAAACCUAGAAUCCUGCUCUGUAGUUGCAGCACUUAUUGCAACAGUUGCAUUUGCAACAUCAUCAACCGUUCCUGGUGGCUUCAAGAAGGGUAUUGGUGUGCCAACUUUGGAAGGAAAGCCUGCAUUCAACAUUUUUUUCCAUCUCAUCACUUGUAGCUCUCUGUUCCUCUGUCACAGCCCUAGUGUUUUUCCUGUCAAUUCUCACAUCUCGACCAAGAAGAGGAUUUUGCUAUGGACUUGCCUAGGAAGCUUCUGCUUGGUUUGACAUCACUCUUCACGUCUGUAGGAUUUUAAUAAUGUUGAUUUUAUCUUUCAAUGAAAUAUUUAGUAGUGUUAUUCAAAAUGGGGAUUCUUUUUUGCCAAUAAGUUGUUCAUUUGAAUUGUGGGGCUCCUUAAUGUACUUUGUUCAGUGCAUGAAGGGAUUUCAUUCAUGACUUAUAUAGCCGUCUGUACAAGACCUUCCAAAAAUGUAAGUUGUUUGGACAGCAAAACUAACUCCUACUCAUACUGUACAAAUCCCUAAUAAGUUCAAUGCUCUAAGAGCAAGCUUUUACAGUUA